GAUGAACGCUAGCUACAGGCUUAACACAUGCAAGUCGAGGGGUAGCAGGGUAGCAAUACCGCUGACGACCGGCGCACGGGUGAGUAACACGUAUCCGACCUGCCCAUAACUCGGGGAUAGCCUUUCGAAAGAAAGAUUAAUACCCGAUAGUACCUUAUUAAGGCAUCUUAAGAAAGGUAAAGAUUUAUUGGUUAUGGGUGGGGAUGCGUUCCAUUAGACAGUUGGUGAGGUAACGGCUCACCAAGUCUUCGAUGGAUAGGGGCUCUGAGAGGAAGGUCCCCCACAUUGGUACUGAGACACGGACCAAACUCCUACGGGAGGCAGCAGUGAGGAAUAUUGGUCAAUGGGCGAGAGCCUGAACCAGCCAAGUAGCGUGAAGGAUGAAGGUCCUAUGGAUUGUAAACUUCUUUUAUAGUAGAAUAAAGUGAACCACGCGUGGUUUUUUGUAUGUAUACUAUGAAUAAGGAUCGGCUAACUCCGUGCCAGCCGCCGCCGUAA
rnacentral:rRNA from 1 species